rnacentral:rRNA from 1 species
AACUUUCAACAACGGAUCUCUUGGUUCUGGCAUCGAUGAAGAACGCAGCGAAAUGCGAUAAGUAAUGUGAAUUGCAGAAUUCAGUGAAUCAUCGAAUCUUUGAACGCACAUUGCGCCCUUUGGUAUUCCGAAGGGCAUGCUUGUUCGAGCGUCAUUU